CAGAGGGAGGAGACACUGAAUGUUUGGAUGCAUUUAGACCAUCUGAGGAGUGGCCAGUGAAGUUAUCACUAGGCUGUUAUGUAAACACUGCAUUUUCUCUGAAAAGACAGUGUUUACAGCAAAAAGCCUGAAGGUAAUGAUUCUACUUACCAGAACAAAUUCAAUAAGCUGUAGUUGUUCUGGUGACUAUAGUGUCCCUUUAAUUUCAAUGCAAAUCUGUCUAUCAAAGUGUCAGAUAGUAUAA